UGGGGAAUAUUGGACAAUGGGCGAAAGCCUGAUCCAGCCAUGCCGCGUGUGUGAAGAAGGUCUUCGGAUUGUAAAGCACUUUAAGUUGGGAGGAAGGGCAGUAAGCGAAUUCCUUGCUGUUUUGACGUUACCGACAGAAUAAGCACCGGCUAACUCUGUGCCAGCAGCCGCGGUAAUACAGAGGGUGCAAGCGUUAAUCGGAAUUACUGGGCGUAAAGCGCGCGUAGGUGGUUCGUUAAGUUGAAUGUGAAAGCCCCGGGCUCAACCUGGGAACUGCAUCCAAAACUGGCGAGCUAGAGUAGGGCAGAGGGUGGUGGAAUUUCCUGCGUAGCGGUGAAAUGCGUAGAUAUAGGAAGGAACACCAGUGGCGAAGGCGACCACCUGGGCUCAUACUGACACUGAGGUGCGAAAGCGUGGGGAGCAAACAGG
rnacentral:rRNA from 1 species